rnacentral:tRNA from 2 species
ACACGAUUAGUUUAACGGCUAGAACACUGUUCUUACACAACAGUAGCGUUGGUUCGACUCCAGCAUUGUGUA